GAUGAAGAACGUAGCGAAAUGCGAUACGUAAUGUGAAUUGCAGAAUUCAGUGAAUCAUCGAAUCUUUGAACGCAUAUUGCGCUCUCUGGUAUUCCGGAGAGCAUGCUUGUUUGAGUAUCAGUAAACACCUCAACUUCCAUAUCUUUUUUGAAAUGGGAGUUGGACUUGAGUGAUCCCAACGCUUUUCCUCACCGAAAAGCGGCGGGUUACUUGAAAUGCAGGUGCAGCUGGACUUUUCUCUGAGCUAUAAGCAUAUCUAUUUAGUCUGCCUAAAAAACAGAUUAUUACCUUUGCUGCAGCUAACAUAAAGGAGAUUAGUUCUUGUGCUGACUGAUGCAGGAUUCACAAAGACAGGCUUCGGCAGACUUUGUAAACUCGAUCUCAAAUCAAGUAAGACUACCCGCUGAACUUAAGCAUAUCAAUAAGCGGAGGA
rnacentral:misc_RNA from 1 species